GGGCAAAUGGUCUAGGGGUAUGAUUUUCCCUUCGCAUAACACGUCAAUAUGUGACUGGGAAAGGUCCGGGGUUCAAAUCCCCGUUUGUCCA